rnacentral:tRNA from 1 species
AAGUUUAGGUUAGACAAACCAGGGGCCUUCAAAGCCCCAAACAAGAGCAACCCACCCUCCUAACUUCU